rnacentral:rRNA from 1 species
CCUACGGGAGGCAGCAGUGGGGAAUAUUGCACAAUGGGGGCAACCCUGAUGCAGCGACGCCGCGUGAGUGAAGAAGGAAUUCGUUAUGUAAAGCUCUAUCAGCAGGGAAGAAAAUGACGGUACCUGUGUCAGAAGCCCCGGCUAACUACGUGCCAGCAGCCGCGGUAAUACGUAGGGGGCCAGCGUUAUCCGGAUUGACUGGGUGUAAAGGGAGCUGAGUCGGCUGUGCAAGUCUGGAGUGAAAGGCGGGGGCUCAACCGCCGGACUGCACUGGAAACUGUACGGCUGGAGUGCAGGAGAGGUAAGUGGAAUUCCUGGUGUAGCGGUGAAAUGCGUAGAUAUUAGGAGGAACACCAGUGGCGAAGGCGGCUUACUGGACUGUAACUGACGUUGAGGCUCGAAAGCGUGGGGAGCAAACAGGAUUAGAUACCCGGGUAGUC